ACACGACUACAUUAGAUACCCGCGUAGUCCUAGCCGUAAACGAUACUCGCUAGGUGUCGGCCACGGUGCGACCGUUGUCGGUGCCGUAGGGAAGCCGUGAAGCGAGCCACCUGGGAAGUACGGCCGCAAGGCCGAAACUUAAAGGAAUUGGCGGGGGAGCACCACAACGGGUGGAGCUUGCGGUUUAAUUGGACUCAACGCCGGGAAGCUCACCGGAUAAGACAGCGGAAUGAUUGCCGGGCUGAAGACCCUGCAUGACCAGCUG
rnacentral:rRNA from 1 species